GCAGCCCGACAUUCACCUGGACGGACAGUGCACUUUUCUUACGUCUGGGCAGGGAAGGCAGGGCGCACCAUCUACCGCAGGCUAGGAUAAUCACCAACCGCCCCACCACACCCUGCGCCAGCCCUACGGCGCCCGCGGGCUGCAAGUCGCGGCGACCCAGGAGCAUGCGCGCUGCCGCCCCUGGCCUGCCAGGACCCAGAGGGAGCGGAGCACGCGCCUUCGAGAAUCUUCGGUGCGCCAAGUCUGUUCGCCGCCGGGGUCUAUCACCCCCGCCCCUCGCCUCUGCCCGUGAGCGUGUGAGUUGUAGCGUCCCCUGGGGUCUGUUCUGGAGGAGGCCUGAGAGCGGGGUUGCCUGGGGCGUGGGUCUCUCAUCCCUCUCGUCCUGGUGAAGAAGAAUAGUAUACCCAGCGGCUGGCUUGGCUUUUUCAGAGGAAACAGAGACUCUCAGACAUGAAUACUGUGACACUGACCACCAGGCCAACUUAACAUCAGCAGAUAUCCUGUCUCAGAUGAAGAGAAUGGCCUGUCCAGAAGACAGCCAAAUACAUCCUUCAAACAGACUUCACUGCAGGAGACAGAGUGGAUUCAUCCUGUAUUCUCCAUGUAGACUUCCAUCUUCAUGAGUACUCCAAGAAGAUGGUUCAGUUGACUAUUGCAAAGGUAAAAAUCCAAGAGAUACAGAUACAGAAUAGGACAGAGAGACAUAUUUUUAAGCUAUUGAUUACAAUUAUGGUAUGCCUAUAGAUUGCAGAACCGAGGAGAAAGGGAACAUUAUGAUUUACCAUCAAGAAAAACUUGGAAUUGGUGCUGAGUAGUUCAUUCUAAGAAUUAUCAUUUAUCUGUAUUUGCCCCCAUUUUCAUUGUUACUAGGCCAAAAGUCAUUUCAUAAUUAAUAAAAUAAGUUGGAUGUCAAAAUCAACUUGUGUUAUUAUAAAAUUAGCAAUCUACAUUAUGUGUUUCUUUACAUUUUUAUAGGAGUAUUUAUAAAUAUACCUAAGAAAACUGACAAUGUGGAGUACAAAUGUUGCAUUUUCAAAACUGGGAAUCUGUUUAUUGAGGCUCUAUUUUUAGUUAUGUAUGAUAAUAGAUUGCAUUUCAGGUUUCAAACCUUGUAAAAAUAAUUUCCUUAUGAUAUGUUUACUCAUUUUGCAAAUAAUUAUUGUGUCAUAUAGCAAGAGAUUGUACUUCCAUUCAGCUGGUUAAAGUACAAAAUCAUUGAUAUGGUUUGGCUGUGUCCCCACCCAAAUCUCAACUUGAAUUGUACCUUCCAGAAUUCCCACAGGACCCAGGGGGAGGUAAUUGAAUCAAGGGGGCUGGUCUUUCCCAUGCUAUUCUUGUGAUAGUGAAUAAGUCUCACGAGAUCUGAUGGUUUUAUCAGGGGUUUCUGCUUUUGCUGCUUCUUCAUUUUUCUCUUGCUGCUGCCAUGUAAGAAAUGCCUUUCACCUCCUGCCAUGAUUCUGAGGCCUCCCCAGCCAGGUGGAACUAUAAGUCCAAUUAAACCUCUUUUUGUUCCCAGUCUCAGGUAUGUCUUUAUCAGCAGCAUGAAAAUGGACUAAUAGUACCAGUAGAGUGGGGCAUUGCUGAAAAGAUACCCGAAAAUGUGGAAGCAACUUUGGAACUGGGUGUUGAAAUAAUCUGGAGGGCUCAGAAGAAGAUAGGAAAAUGUAGGAAAGUUUGGAACCUCCUAGAGACUGUGAAUGGCAUUGACAAAAAUACUGAUAGUGAUAUGAACAAUAAGGUCCAGGCUGAGGUGGUCUCAGAUGGAGAUGAAGACCUUGUUGGGAACUGAAGUAAAGGUGACCCUUGUUAUGUUUUAGCAAGGAGACUGGCAGCAUUUCACCCUUGCCCUAGAGAUUUGUGGAACUUAGAGCUUGAGAGAGAUGACUUAGGGUAUCUGGUGGAAUAAAUUUCUAAGCAGCAAAGCAUUCAAAAGGUGACUUGGGUGCUGUUAAAAACAUUCUGUUUUAAAAGGGAAACAAGAGCAUAAGUGUGGAAAAUCUGCAGCCUGAUGAUGCAGUAGAAAAGAAAAACCCAUUUUUUUUAAGGAGAAAUUCAAGCUGGCUGCGGAAAUUUGCAUAAGCAGCAAGGAGCCUAAUGUUAAUCCCCAAGACCAUGGGGAAAAUGUCUCCAGGUCAUGUCAGAGACCUUCAUGGCAGCCCCUCCCAUCACAGGCCCAGAGGCCCAGGAGGAAAAAGUGGUUUUGUGGGCUGGGCCCAGGGUCUCUGUGCUGUGUGCAGCCUAGGGACUUGGUGUCCUGUGUCCCAGCUGCUCCAGCCAUGGCUGAAAGGAGCCAACAUAGAGCUUGGGCUGUGGCUUCAGAGGGUAGAGGCCCCAAGCAUUGGCAGCUUCCAUGUGAUGUUGAGCCUGUGGGUGCAGAGAUGUCAAGAAUUGAGAUUUGGGAACCUCUGCCUAGAUUUCAGAAGAUAUAUGGAAACACCUGGAUGUCCAGGCAAAAGUUUGCUGCAGGGGCAGAGCCCUCAUGGAGAACCUCUCCUAGGGCAGUGUGGAAGGGAAAUGUGGGGCAGAGCCCCCAUACAGAGUCCCUGUUGGGGCACUGCCUAGUGGAGCUGUGAGAAGAAGGCCACAGUCCCAGAACGGUAGACCCCAGAAUGGUAGACCCCAGAAUGGUAGAUCAACCACCAACUUGCAUCUUGUGCCUGGAAAAGCUACAGACACUCAACAUCAGCCUGAGAAAGCAGCCAGGAGGGAGGCUGUACUCUGCAAAGCCACAGGGGCGGAGCUGCACAAGACCAUGGGAACCUAUCUCUUGCAUCAGCAUGACCUGAAUGUGAGACAUGGAGUCAAAGGAGAUCAUUAUGGAGCUUUAAAAUUUGACUGCCCCACUGGAUUUCAGACUUGCAUGGACCCUGUAACCCCUUUGUUUUGGCCAAUUUCUCUCAUUUGGAACAGCUGUAUUUACCCAAUACCUGUACCCCCCAUUGUAUCUAGGAGGUAACUAGCUUGCUUUUACAGGCUUGUAAGUGGAAGGGACUUGCCUUGUCUCAGAUGAGACUUUGGACUGUGGACUUUUGGGUUAAUGCUGAAAUGAGUUAAGACUUUGGGGAACUGUUGGGAAGGAAUGAUUGGUUUUGAAAUGUGAGGAUUAUGAAAUUUGGAGGAGCCCAGGGAGGAAUGAUAUGGUUUGGCUGUGUCCCCACCCAAAUCUCAACUUGAAUUGUAUCUCCCAGAAUUCCCACAUGUUGUGGGAGGGACCCAGGGGGAGGUAAUUGAAUCAUGGAGGCCAGUCUUUUCUGUGCUAUUCUCGUGAUAAUAAGUCCCACAAGAUCUGGUGGGUUUAUGAAGAGUUUCUGCUUUUGCUUCUUCCUCAUUUUUCUCUUGAUGCCACCACGUAAGCAUCUCUUUUGCCUCCCACCUGAUUUUGAGGCCUCCCCAGCCAUGUGGAACUGUAAGUCCAAUUAAACCCUUUUUGUUCCCAGUCUCAGAUAUGUCUUUAUCAGCAGCAUGGAAACGAACUAAUACAAUCAUAGUUUUUAAAAACCAAUCUAAAUGUAACUAUUGAACAUGAUUAGCUGUUUCAUCCCUAGUAGAGUGACAGAAGGAAACAUCCAUAGACAGGAAUAAUAAGAAACCAGCUAAACUUCUAAACCAUUUUUAAAGGAUGCGUGUGAGCUGGCAUAACCUACCUACUCUUUCCUAUGGGCCUCUACUGAGAGCAUGGAGGUAAUACAUCUAAUACACUGAAGACCAGGGCAAGAGAGCUGGAAGAAAUCCCUCUUAAGCACUCCAGGCCUUCACUGAGUAUGAGGUGCUGGUCUCCAAAGGCAGAGGGCAAGGCAAGGCAGAGAGGGAUCUCCUGGGGCACAGACAACUGACAAAAGAAACACUUGGAUUGUUGUAUAAGAGGAGUGAGCUUUGUAACUACCACGUUAGCUGGCCUGCUGUGGAACAGACUGCCUAUGAAUGACAGCAGUCAGGUAGUGGAUGAACACUGAUCUGAGAGCCUGUAAAAGAAACUCUUUGGAAUGAUAAUGUCAUCUAGACCUUUGAUACGCAAAGUGUGAUUCCUGGACAGAUGUAUUGGCUUUACCUGGCAGCUUGUUGGAAAUGUAAAACCUCAGGCCUCACCCCAGACCUACU
rnacentral:lncRNA from 1 species